rnacentral:rRNA from 1 species
UGGGGAAUUUUGCACAAUGGGGGAAACCCUGAUGCAGCGACGCCGCGUGAUUUAGAAGGCCUUCGGGUUGUAAAAAUCUUUUCUAUGGGAAGAAAAUGACAGUACCAUAGGAAUAAGGACCGGCUAAUUACGUGCCAGCAGCCGCGGUAAUACGUAAGGUCCGAGCGUUGUCCGGAAUCAUUGGGCGUAAAGGGUACGUAGGCGGGUAAGCAAGAUAGAAGUGAAAUCCUAUAGCUCAACUAUAGUAAGCUUUUAAAACUGCUCAUCUUGAGGUAUGGAAGGGAAAGUGGAAUUCCUAGUGUAGCGGUGAAAUGCGCAGAUAUUAGGAGGAAUACCGGUGGCGAAGGCGACUUUCUGGCCAUAACCUGACGCUGAGGUACGAAAGCGUGGGUAGCAAACAGG